rnacentral:rRNA from 1 species
UCGAGAAUCUUCCGCAAUGGGGGCAACCCUGACGGAGCGACGCCGCGUGGAGGAAGAAGGCCUUCGGGUUGUAAACUCCUGUCACGACUUACGACAGCGUACGGCAUAACAACCGUGCGCCGACGAAGGGUCGGAAGGAAGCCACAGCUAACUUCGUGCCAGCAGCUGCGGUAAGACGAAGGUGGCAAGCGUUGUUCGGAUUCACUGGGCAUAAAGGGCGCGUAGGCGGUUCCGAAAGUGGCCUGUGAAAUCCCCCGGCUCAACCGGGGAAGUGCAGACCAAACUUCGGUGCUUGAGGCUGGGAGGGGAGACUGGAACUCUCGGUGGAGCGGUGAAAUGCGUAGAUAUCGAGAGGAACACCGGUGGCGAAGGCGAGUCUCUGGUCCAGCUCUGACGCUGAGGCGCGAAAGCGUGGGUAGCAAACAGGAUUAGAUACCCCUGUAGUCC